UACGGAGGGUGCAAGCGUUAUCCGGAUUUACUGGGUUUAAAGGGUGCGUAGGUGGAUUAGUAAGUCAGUGGUGAAAUCUCCGGGCUUAACCCGGAAACUGCCAUUGAUACUAUUAGUCUUGAAUAUCCUGGAGGUGAGCGGAAUAUGUCAUGUAGCGGUGAAAUGCUUAGAUAUGACAUAGAACACCAAUUGCGAAGGCAGCUCACUACGGGAUUAUUGACACUGAGGCACGAAAGCGUGGGGAUCAAACAGGAUUAGAACCGUACCGUAG
rnacentral:rRNA from 1 species